rnacentral:tRNA from 1 species
UGCCUUGUAGCUCGAUUGGCAGAGCACCGGCGAAGAGCCGGAGGUUUGGGGCCGGGAACCGUAACAGGUCCGGGCAGUGGGAUCGGCGGAAGCCGCUUCUCCUGGGUUCGAGUCCCCCUGAGGCAA